rnacentral:lncRNA from 10 species
AAAUGAAUCCUGUGCUGGUGAGUCAUUGGAUCAGGGCUGCCCCAGGUGGGAACAGAAGGAGUCAGGACACCAACUCCUGACACUACUGGGCUAGGCAGCUCCUGUUGCCCAAGGACACUUCCCUGGAUGAGACUGCAGAUGUGAGAUGUUAGCAAAAGCACCCACAGCUGCUGGUAAGAGGAAGAUUUCAACACCUUUUUAGCAAAAGAUGUUCACAUAAACCUGAAAUGAAUAUAGCCAAAGAGGACGUGGUCUUUCAGCACCUCCAGCUAAAAAAUGCUGCAGAGGAACUUCCUGUAUUAAGUACAGAUGGGGUUUCACCAUGUUCGCCAGGAUGGUCUCGAUCUCCUGACCUCGUGAUCUGUCCACCUCUGCCUCCCAAAGUGCUGAGAUUACAGGUGUGAGCCACCACUCCCAGCCUUUGUCAUCAUUUCAGAUAGGGUGAAGGAAUGGUUUAAGUCGCCUCCAAGGUAUCUUGUUGGGGGUGAGGGGUACAGAGGGGUCUUACUGAAUGGUGAUGAAAAAGGGGACACAAGCGAAAAAUCAACAUUGGAGAAAAGAUAACUAAACCCUGGGAAGCUUAAGGAACAAAGUGUAACAAAACAACAUGGAUUGUUUUAUAAAAUACUUUGAGAUAUCCAGGAUUAAAAGUAUGAUAAAAAAUAACAUCGUGUAUUUUUGCAGUAACUUUUAAUUUACAAAAACACUUACAUACAUUAUCUCACUAGACUCUUUGACCCUUAUAUGUACUAUGUAAGAAAGGCAGGGCAGGCACCAGAAAUCCAGGGUUACAAAAUCUAGUGAUUGGAACUCAGAGGGAUUGCGAGGCAUGCUCAAAAUCCCACAACUGCGCAAAAAUAGGACAAACAGAAAUAUGUUCACUCAGUGAUUAGAACUCGGAGGGAUUGUGAGGCAUGCUCAAAAUCCCACAACUGCGCAGAAAUAGGACGAAGAGAAAUAUGUUUGCUCAGUCCUAGGUGCAAUACUUAUGACCAGAAUGGGAGGACAGACUGAUCCCCUUUAGAGCUUGAUUUUCCUUCCCUCUGGGAAUAUAUCUGCCUUUGGCACUG